rnacentral:lncRNA from 1 species
GUGUUGUUGAAGUAAGAAGCUAAAUACUUGCUACAUUAGGCCAAGCAUUAGUUAAAUAUUAGGGCUAUAAAUAUUUGUCAGUGUAAGUAAAAGUUAACAUGAUUAGGCCAACGUUUUUAGACAAGACAAUUUUUUAUUUGACCUUUAUUUACUAGGCAAGUCAGUUAAGAACAAAUUCUUAUUUACAAUGACGGCCUACACCGGCCAAACCCGGACAUUACUGGGCCAAUUGUGCGCCUCCCUAUGGGACUCCCAAUCACGGCCGGCUGUGAUACAGCCUGGAAUCGAACCAGGGACUGCAGUGACACCUCUUGCACUGGGAUACAGUGCCUUAGACCGCUGCACCUAGGCUACAACAACACAGUGCAAUGAGGAAUGUGUCAUUGUUAUCAAAUUGGACGGGUCUGGAUGAGGAUGAAGAUGCCCACGUGUGGGAAGACAACUGGGAUGAUGACAACGUAGAGGACGACUUCUCUAAUCAACUCCGAGCGGAGCUGGAGAAACAUGGUUCCAAGAUGGAGACGUCGUAGUAGCUGCCUAGUGGACACAUCUAAUCCCAGCAGCUAUGGAUGGACUUUGAUGUUCUGAAUGUUAUAACUUCACACUUACGAUGGAGGAUGUUUAACUAAACUCGCUCCUUUUUUUUCCCCAAAAACCUUCACAUGCGUAAAGUGUUUGAAAAUGUCCCCCUUUGGAUGUUUUCAUUAUUCUACUGAUCACCAUUGAUUCAGAUAAUGUAAGAGUUAUGUAAACAUUAAAGGUGGUUCAAUUCACG